AUUGAACGCUGGCGGCAGGCCUAACACAUGCAAGUCGAAUGGUAACAGGAAACAGCUUGCUGUUUCGCUGACGAGUGGCGGACGGGUGAGUAAUGUCUGGGAAACUGCCUGAUGGAGGGGGAUAACUACUGGAAACGGUAGCUAAUACCGCAUAACGUCGCAAGACCAAAGAGGGGGACCUUCGGGCCUCUUGCCAUCAGAUGUGCCCAGAUGGGAUUAGCUAGUAGGUGGGGUAACGGCUCACCUAGGCGACGAUCCCUAGCUGGUCUGAGAGGAUGACCAGCCACACUGGAACUGAGACACGGUCCAGACUCCUACGGGAGGCAGCAGUGGGGAAUAUUGCACAAUGGGCGCAAGCCUGAUGCAGCCAUGCCGCGUGUAUGAAGAAGGCCUUCGGGUUGUAAAGUACUUUCAGCGGGGAGGAAGGGAGUAAAGUUAAUACCUUUGCUCAUUGAUGUUACCCGCAGAAGAAGCACCGGCUAACUCCGUG
rnacentral:rRNA from 1 species